AAGGUAUCGGUUUUUUAUUUGUUAUAAAUUUGCACAAAACAAACCCGUUAUGGGGUAUUGUGUUUAGAUUGAUGAGGCCUUUUUUGUAUUUAAUCUAUUUCAGAAUAAGGCUAUAACGUAACAAAAUGUGGACAAAGGAAGGGGUCUGAAUACUUUCUGACUAUACUGUACAACAGCCGAUGUACACCCAUCGACUUUGAGCUUCAGAGCUUCAAUGAGAGGGGGCAGUCAUUCUCCAUCCAAUCGGAGGCGAUGUUUUGUGUUUCUGGGCUCGCUAUCCGAUGAUAAACACAGAAGAAAACUCGGAAGUAGAAUUCAAAACGUGAGAGAAUGAAAUCGGGUUCUUGACAGUGAAAAUAGCUGCAAAGCGAAUGUUGAGAUGAAUAGUGAAAACUUUUCCAUAAGUGAGAAGAUUGUGUCGGCAUCCUACAUUCGCCAGGGGUCACAGGCACGUCGCAGUCAUGAGCAGCUGAUUAGACAGCUUUUGGACCAGGUUAAUACAUGGGAUAGGACGAUCUGGUGACAUCGCUGCAACUCCUAAGGAUGCAGGUUCCAGUCUGCUGAGCAAGCUGACUAAUUCAGUUGUGCUGGACAUUUUAAAACUCAGGUGUGCAAAGUGUGGCCAGCUGUUUUGUAGUUCCAAUGGCAACCGGGAUGAGCCUGACACUGUGCUUCCUAACACUUCGCCACAAGAGACCAAAGGCACGCUACAUCAUCUGGCCCCUCAUUGACCAGAAGUCCUGCUUCAAUGCCAUGAUCACUGCAGAUUAAGUACUAGCAUGACCGUGUUCAAUACCACUCUCUGUAACAUUAUAAAAGUAAGUUAUGCCCUACAGUUUCUUGUACUCCCCAUUCCUGCUCUAGAUGCACCUAUCAGUUCAGCUAGUUUUGAAAAUGACUUAACUUUUCUAAGAGCUGCCUAUGCAUGCUAUACUUGACUCGUAGGGCCUAACUUUUGCAGAGUGUGACACGCUCCCUUUCAUUCAUCCCUGCUUAGUGCAACAUUUCUCUCUGUUUCUAUUUUCAAGAAUUUGGCGCACGGCUCACACAUGAAAACACUUAAUAAAGUAUCUUGUGCUCUGCUCAUGCCGGCAAACGUUAUGCGUCCACUACCCCACUGUAGCUCCCCUGCAAGGCAACUUUUGUCCAACCCCAACAUUGACCACUUUUGCUCGUUGUAACCAUGAACAGGGUUUGAACCCGUGGUGGUGAGAACAUUUUGGAAGGCGAUGAGCUGAGAACAGAUCUGGAGUCUGUGGACCUUAAGAUGCAAGAGCUGGGAGCAGAGAACAUCAUUUGUGUCCACUCCACUACUUCUUGCUUUGCCAUCCAAUCAUGGUUAAAUAGAGCUGUAACAAAUAAAAUGUCCAUGUCCUAUUAUCAUGUGCUAUUAUCACUGGAAACAAAUGUUAUUUGUAUAGUCUGCAUACGGUUUUAUUAUAUAGUCUACUUCAUGACAUUACUCACAGAAGCAUACUUCCAUAUUAUUACAGUGUAUGUUGGGUGAAGAUUACCAGGGCAUUAUUUGAUAAUGACUUUCCUCUGUUCUGGCAGAUUGGAGGAGCUAGCCACAAUGUGUGCCAAAUAUGACAUCCUCCAUGUUGUCAACAAUGCUUAUGGAGUGCAGUCAUCCAAGUGUAUGCACUUUCUUCAGCAGGGGGCUCGUGUUGGAAGAAUCGAUGCCUUUGUACAAAGCCUGGACAAAAACUUCAUGGUUCCAGUAGGUGGUGCCACAAUUGCUGAGUCUUUUAUUUCAGGAGAUCAGCAGAAUGUAUCCAGGUCAAGCAUCAGCCUCCCCCUGCCCGGAUGUGCUCAUCACCCUGCUCACCAUGGGGGCCAGCGGCUACAGGAGAAAGGGACAAUCCAUGCCAUCUUUGAGAAGUGCAACAACCACUACACAUGGAAGAAGGUCACCACCACCGUGCACAACAUCAUAGUCGGCAAAUUGUGGAUCGACCAGAGAGAGAAUGGAACCAGCAGAGAGAGGGGGGAAAACUAUCUCUGGAAGAUGGCCACCGAGAGAGAGGAGCUAUCCAGGAAGAACCACUAAGACGGUGAUGGAUAAGGAUGGGAAGGCCCACUAUGUGCUGCCAGGGACCUGGGAUGAGAAGGUUGAGUUCUCCAGGGUCAUGCAGAGCAGCAAGGGAGAGAACGGCACCGAGGGCUAACAGAAGACUGUCUACCAGACGCUCAAGGCCAGGGAGCUGUGGUGGAAAAACCCUCUACCCAAGGGAGCAGAGACAAUGUACUUCUUCACGAACCUGGCAUUGACGCUGAACGAGCCUGAGGAAGGCGUGGCGCCCACGGACAGCCGUCUACGACCCGACCAGAGGCUUAUGGAGGUGGGCCAGUGGGACGAGGCCAACGCAGAGAAACAGAGGCUGGAGGAGAAGCAGCAUAGUGUCCACCGUGAGAGGGAACGGAGUGCCGCCAGCCAGCGUACAGCCAGCGAGUCAGAGGAAGGUACUCGCCAAGAUAACUACACAGCGCAGUGGUUUAAACGCUGCGACGACCCCGCCACAGCUGAAUCCACUCACAUAAGGGAUGCUACUGGGAGGCUAAGGAGAAAGGCAGCUGGGAGUCCUGUCCCGAAAUAUACUGACCUCUUAAUGGCUGUCUUUGACUACAAAGUUUCCCAGGACGUAACCUACUUCAUUGGACCCUACCAAUGAACAGCUACACUCCUCCCAUUGUGUGGAUGUUUCACUCCACUGGCUCUCUGUUCUAAGAGAUCUAGAUGCUGCAGUCUGAUCCAAUGGGUGAACGGGGUAUUCCUAAGACUUGGUUGCAUUUUAGUCCCUAGCCCCUCUUUCCUCAGCUUCUACCCCGUCAGUGUUCACAGAUCUGAAGGGUAUCCUAGGUGAAGGCAAUUUGGCAGAAGCCUCACUUCUAUAAGAGGGGUAGGUGGAGCCUUCAUCACACUGUGUACUCCUUCACAUUUGCAAAAAGUCAUAGGGUGUGAGGAAAAGGGACAUGAAAUGAAACUGGGCAUAAGUUUUGAAUAAAAGUAAUCUCUCUCCUCUGUCUUUGGCAUUAGUGGCGUGGGCCCAGAGCAGAUGAGGUUAGAUAACAGUUACACCUCUACCUACCAUAUUGUGCCGAUAGCGCUCUCUGUGAAGCUACAUACUAAUGUUCCUCUCUUCAUCAAGAGCCUUGUGGUUGGGGGUAAACUUUUUUUAAUUAAAUGGAAUGAAACUAGGUUAAUAUAAUUAGUAAUUGAAACAGUGAUUGGUGGCCUUCAAGAAGUUGGAGAAGGUUUCUCAUUUUUAAUUUUCUGUUGAUUAGUGUAUUUAACAAAUUAACUAAAGGUUUUGGGGUGUCUGCUAGUAUGAUUGUAUUUGUUCAUCCAUUGGAAGCUUUAUGAAACGCAUCGUUGUGCAGUACUCCCAUCAUGCAGUAUCAACACAUCAAUAGUGGGUGCCCAGACUACUGUAUGUUCCUUCUCUUAAAUAGUAGUUAUUGUACUGUAUCCGUUUUCUUACUAGGGCCUUGUCUUUCUCAUAAUCUAUGGUCAUGGAUAUUAUGAGAUGGUGAAAUUAACUUUUUUAUAGGGGUGCUCUUGAGUUGAAGUUGUGAGAAGUAGACCUCUUGUCUGGUUCUUGGCUGGCUCUCUUAGUGUCCUUUCCUGACAUCCCUGCUCUCAUCUCCAAUGAGUGGACACACUCAGAUAAUGUAAAACAUUUCUUUAAAAACAAUCAGCAGAACAUAGUAAAAUCCACUGAACGACAAACCCAUUAUCCCUUUGCGAAGAAAAUGCAUAUUUCAAGAAAAAUUUCAAUUGAAGUUUAAUUUAACCAAGUAAAAAUGAAUAGCAUUACUUAAAAGCAUUUUCGCAGUUUAGGAACAAUGGUUUCUACCCACAGUAUGUGUUUGAUGGGAAAUAAUAGUAGCCAUGAGCUGUACAUGUUAUUCAAAGUUGUUAAAUAGUUAUGGUAAAUGCUUAGUCUGUAUUUGUCAAGGGGAAAUCAAUUCUGAGGUGAAAAACUGUCACUUAACUGUAAUUUUUGAACAUAUUUAAUAUCAGUAGCAUGACUUAAAUGGGAUUUGUGCAACAAAUGCGAAAAUGGUAUUGGUUUCCUUACUCAGUAAGCGGUCUAUGGACAAUGUAUGACAGCAAUCCAUUUCUGUUCUGAAGAGUAUGCAAGUGUUUUGACACCAAAAAAUAUGGGAUUACUUUGUUUUGUUUAAGUGUACUUAAAAUGAAGACUUUAAAACCAUUGCAAAUAACUAUGAUUUUAUAUAUGUAUAGAAAAUGGAUUACUAUAUAGUAAUGAUGAUAAUGGUAUGGUUAUUUUAUUUGGUUUUGGUGUUUUUUUUCCUGAAGCGGAAAGGGAGAUCCCUUUCAAAACAGUAAUCAUCAUGUGUGUGAAAGGACAUAUGACACUAUUGUUUUUAAGAUAAAACAAUCUGUCUUAAGCAAUUACUACCAGAAUGUCAAACAGGUUGCUGUAAUGUGUUUUUCAUACUUUUGUCCCUCAGUUAUUUAGGUCUAUGUGGAAUAUUUUUCAGUUAUUAAUUGGAUAACAAAAAAAGGAAAGUUGGUUGCCAAAGAAAUUCAAUAGAAAAUAAUAUAUCUGUCUUGUUUUUAGUGCAAGCUGUGCGAUAUUGGUGGAGAUUACAAGAUUUUGACAAUGAAAUGUAAAAAAGUUACAUGAAGUCAUUUGUGUGCAUCUGGAUAUAUUUAUUUGUCAUUUGGAUCAAGCUUGAUCUUAAUAUACCUGGUUCCUCAGUCUCAAUCUCUCUCAGGGUGUGCCCCGCCCUUUUGUUUGUUUCACAUCGUUUCAGUUGAUGGGUGUUGUGCUAGUUGCAUUAAAACCAUUUGCAGUUAUUAUGAGGAAGACAUCGAAUGUUGGUACUGUUCAAAUGGGUUGGAUGCUGGGAUGUCUGUCAGUCAUCUCUGCGCAUACACUAAUGAUCGUUUGUGUUGUAUACCUCACACUAUUUUUCAAGUCUCUCCAAUUACAACUGACCUGAGGAUCGGUUAUCCCCCCUCCAUGGUCUGGUGGUUGGCAAAAAAAGCUAUUUGUUUCUAUUUAAUUUUAUUGAACAUGAUUAUAGUAAUUAACUUGAUUUUUACGUCUUUUUAAUUCAAGUCCACUGUCCAGAACCUUUUAAAAAAUCA